AUACAUGCAAGUCGAACGCGUUGGCCCAAUUGAUUGAUGGUGCUUGCACCUGAUUGAUUUUGGUCGCCAACGAGUGGCGGACGGGUGAGUAACACGUAGGUAACCUGCCCAGAAGCGGGGGACAACAUUUGGAAACAGAUGCUAAUACCGCAUAACAGCGUUGUUCGCAUGAACAACGCUUAAAAGAUGGCUUCUCGCUAUCACUUCUGGAUGGACCUGCGGUGCAUUAGCUUGUUGGUGGGGUAACGGCCUACCAAGGCGAUGAUGCAUAGCCGAGUUGAGAGACUGAUCGGCCACAAUGGGACUGAGACACGGCCCAUACUCCUACGGGAGGCAGCAGUAGGGAAUCUUCCACAAUGGGCGCAAGCCUGAUGGAGCAACACCGCGUGAGUGAAGAAGGGUUUCGGCUCGUAAAGCUCUGUUGUUAAAGAAGAACACGUAUGAGAGUAACUGUUCAUACGUUGACGGUAUUUAACCAGAAAGUCACGGCUAACUACGUGCCAGCAGCCGCGGUAAUACGUACGUGGCAAGCGUUAUCCGGAUUUAUUGGGCGUAAAGAGAGUGCAGGCGGU
rnacentral:rRNA from 2 species